UUUUCUCUCAAGAACACCCCUUAGGGUUUCAAACAAAAAUCCCAAAGAACUCAAGAUUCAACUGUGGGUUUUGGAAGAUAAUUGGAGAUUUGGAAUCCCUACAUCGUAAGCUUCAAGAAUCAUCCCUAAAUUUCUUAAAUAGAGGUACGCGGAGUUUUCCUAAAUUCUCAUGGGCAUAGAAAUCAUGUUUUAAGAAAGGGGUUUUUGAAUUCAUGUACACAUUCAUGUUUUAGAAGCAUUAAUGAUAUUGUUUGGGCUUUUUGGCUUUCCCCCAAAGUGACUUGAAAAUUAUAUGUAUAUGUAUAUAUGUGUUUUGUCUUGAAAUAUGAAUUGAGAGAACAAUUUACAUGAAAUCCCUCUCUUGAUGUAAUUUUCUCAUGUUUCACAUGCUAUAGAUUGUUUUGAAAUACGUCUUGAAAAAUCAUGAUAGGAAAUGCUUUGACUUUGCUAUGUUUGGAAUACGAUUUUGAACACGAAAGAGAGGGAUGUAAAUGUUGAAUAUACAUAUAAUGAAAGAGUGCAUAGUUUUGCCAAAAGUACAUGACCACUAUAUGUUUGAUGGAAGUUUUUGUAUGGUUUUGACUUGAGUUUCGGAACAUGAAAUCUUUUAUGCAAAUUACAUGUUUGGGUGGUCUGAAACUAUAUUUUUAUGAAAGAUCAUGCUUAUGACAUUAUGGCUCAGAAACAGGACUUGCAAGUCUUGGUAUGACGAUACCAACUCAGACAAAUGCCAUAACAGACACAGACUAGUUCAGAAAUCAGAUUUUAUCAGACUUUCAUGAUUUAAAAAUUUCAGAAUGAUACAUGUUCAGAAAAGGUUAAAAAUUGGGCAUAAAGAGAUGUUAGGUGGUCCCCGAAGUAGGCGUGAGUUUAGACAACUCAUUGCCCAAAAUCAUGAUUUGCCGAUCCGGGUAUAUUAUUAUACGCUGGCUUAAGUGCCGUGUGGCGUAUCAGACUUAGACACUCCAACCCUUGCGGCACACUUGGGUUGGGGGCUUCCCCGCCGAGUCAAUGUCGGAUUCCAUAUAGCCCGUGGAAUAUUAGACUUGUAGGGGAGUGCUACCUAACUCAGAAGUAAUACAAAGAUAAGAAAUUAUUUUGACAAGAAUGUAUUAUGAUUUUCGAAUGAUGCCCAUGUGUUUUCAGAAGCUAUUUUAUACGUGAUGUGUUGAUGAAAAUUUCUCUCAUCUAUUAUAUAUAUGUUCAAAUACUUUAUUUUAGAUUGCUUCACGUGCCAGUACAUUUCUGCUGACCCCCCUCCUUCCAGGUUUUGAGACACAGUCUAGGGGUCCAGAUAAAUAGUAGAUAUUUCAGAUCGCAGAGUAGAUUGUGCAGGGGUGAGCCUUCUAUAUUUCAGAAGGCCUGUUUACUUUCAAAUAUUUUUCUUUAGUCAUGUUUUGGUCUACUGGGGGCCUUGUUCCAGUUUCCAAACAGUUUUUUUUAGUUCAUAGUAGACAUUUCGCAGACUGAGUCAGACGUUAUUAUUAUCCAGAUAUAUUUUGGAUUUCAGUUUUCAGUAUUCUGAUCACAUUCAGACUGACCAUGUUUCCGUAUUAGAUUUCUAUUUCCGAAUUAUCUUUUAU
rnacentral:lncRNA from 1 species